rnacentral:sRNA from 1 species
CUGAAAUCGAUUACAUGUUAUGCAUUUCGUGUUGC